UGAGGAAUAUUGGUCAAUGGACGGAAGUCUGAACCAGCCAAGUAGCGUGCAGGAUGACGGCCCUAGUGGGUUGUAAACUGUCUUUUGUAUGGGGAUAAAGUUAGGGACGUGUCCCUAUUUGCAGGUACCAUACGAAUAAGGACCGGCUAAUUCCGUGCCAGCAGCCGCGGUAAU
rnacentral:rRNA from 1 species